UGCCAGCCGCCGCGGUAAAACGUAGGGGGCGAACGUUAUCCGGAAUUACUGGGCGUAUAGGGCACGCAGGCGGUUUGUUAAGUUAGAUGUGAAAGCUCCCGGCUUAACUGGGAGAGUGCGUUUAAAACUGGCAGACUUGAGUAUGAUAGAGGAAAGCAGAAUUCCUGGUGUAGUGGUGGAAUGCGUAGAGAUCAGGAGGAAUACCAGUGGCGAAAGCGGCUUUCUGGGUCAUAACUGACGCUGAGGUGCGAAAGCGUGGGGAGCGAACGGGAUUAGAUA
rnacentral:rRNA from 1 species